rnacentral:lncRNA from 1 species
CGAUGAUGACAUCAACAAGCAUUAUUUUAGCUGCUCCACACUGUUACGGAUGUGUUUUGCAUUCACAUCAAUAUUUAUUCCCGCUCUUAUAUUGGUGUUCCUGUUAAUUACUAUCACUAAUAAACUCAUCAUAGAUACCAGGGUUGAAACCUUGUUUUUGCACCAGAUGCGCGUUUUGAUCACAAGAGACUUACCAGCGACAUCUGAUUAAAAAAAAGACUACCAACAAGCGCUUGACGUUGUCCAUAAUAAUAGUUUUAUUAAAUCAGUGUGUUUUCUUUCAUUU